UACGUAGGGUGCAAGCGUUAAUCGGAAUUACUGGGCGUAAAGCGUGCGCAGGCGGUGAUGUAAGACAGAUGUGAAAUCCCCGGGCUCAACCUGGGAACUGCAUUUGUGACUGCAUCGCUGGAGUACGGCAGAGGGGGAUGGAAUUCCGCGUGUAGCAGUGAAAUGCGUAGAUAUGCGGAGGAACACCGAUGGCGAAGGCAAUCCCCUGGCCUGUACUGACGCUCAUGCACG
rnacentral:rRNA from 1 species